rnacentral:rRNA from 1 species
UUGAACGCUGGCGGCAGGCCUAACACAUGCACGUCGAACGGUAACAGGAAACAGCUUGCUGUUUCGCUGACGAGUGGCGGACGGGUGAGUAAUGUCUGGGAAACUGCCUGAUGGAGGGGGAUAACUACUGGAAACGGUAGCUAAUACCGCAUAACGUCGCAAGACCAAAGAGGGGGACCCUCGGGCCUCUUGCCAUCGGAUGUGCCCAGAUGGGAUUAGCUUGUUGGUGGGGUAACGGCUCACCAAGGCGACGAUCCCUAGCUGGUCUGAGAGGAUGACCAGCCACACUGGAACUGAGACACGGUCCAGACUCCUACGGGAGGCAGCAGUGGGGAAUAUUGCACAAUGGGCGCAAGCCUGAUGCAGCCAUGCCGCGUGUAUGAAGAAGGCCUUCGGGUUGUAAAGUACUUUCAGCGGGGAGGAAGGGAGUAAAGUUAAUACCUUUGCUCAUUGACGUUACCCGCAGAAGAAGCACCGGCUAACUCCGUG